rnacentral:rRNA from 1 species
UACGUAGGGUGCAAGCGUUGUCCGGAUUUACUGGGCGUAAAGAGCGCGCAGGCGGUCGUUCAAGUCGAGUGUGAAAGCCCCCGGCUCAACUGGGGAGGGUCAUUCGAUACUGAUCGACUCGAAGGCAGGAGAGGGUAGUGGAAUUCCCGGUGUAGUGGUGAAAUGCGUAGAUAUCGGGAGGAACACCAGUGGCGAAGGCGACUACCUGGCCUGUUCUUGACGCUGAGGCGCGAAAGCUAGGGGAGCAAACGGGG